UACGUAGGGGGCAAGCGUUGUUCGGAAUUACUGGGCGUAAAGGGCUCGUAGGCGGCCAACUAAGUCGGAUGUGAAAUCCCCAGGCUUAACCUGGGAACUGCAUCCGAUACUGGAUGGCUUGAAUUCGGGAGAGGGAUGCAGAAUUCCAGGUGUAGCGGUGAAAUGCGUAGAUAUCUGGAGGAAUACCGGUGGCGAAGGCGGCAUCCUGGACCGACAUUGACGCUGAGGAGCGAAAGCGUGGGGAGCAAACAGGG
rnacentral:rRNA from 1 species